rnacentral:rRNA from 1 species
UAGACCUGAAGUCAGUCGAGACUACCCGCUGAAUUUAA